rnacentral:rRNA from 1 species
UACGAAGGGGGCUAGCGUUGCUCGGAAUCACUGGGCGUAAAGCGCACGUAGGCGGCUUUCUAAGUCAGGGGUGAAAUCCUGGAGCUCAACUCCAGAACUGCCUUUGAUACUGGAGAGCUUGAGUCCGGGAGAGGUGAGUGGAACUCCGAGUGUAGAGGUGAAAUUCGUAGAUAUUCGGCGGAACACCAGUGGCGAAGGCAGCCCCCUGGGUCGACACUGACGCUCAGGCACGAAAGCGUGGGGAGCAAACAGG